UACGUAGGGUGCAAGCGUUAAUCGGAAUUACUGGGCGUAAAGCGUGCGCAGGCGGUGAUGUAAGACAGAUGUGAAAUCCCCGGGCUCAACCUGGGAACUGCAUUUGUGACUGCAUCGCUGGAGUGCGGCAGAGGGGGGUAGAAUUCCACGUGUAGCAGUGAAAUGCGUAGAGAUGUGGAGGAACACCGAUGGCGAAGGCAGCCCCCUGGGUCAAGAUUGACGCUCAUGCACGAAAGCGUAGGGAGCAAACAGG
rnacentral:rRNA from 1 species